GAUGAACGCUAGCGGGAGGCUUAACACAUGCAAGCCGAGGGGUAUAGUUCUUUCGGGAACUAGAGACCGGCGCACGGGUGCGUAACGCGUAUGCAACUUGCCCUACUGAAAAGGAUAGCCCUUCGAAAGGAGGAUUAAUACUUUAUAACAGAUUUAAUGGCAUCAUUAGAUUUUGAAAGAUUUAUCGCAGUAGGAUAGGCAUGCGUAAGAUUAGUUAGUUGGUGAGGUAACGGCUCACCAAGACGAUGAUCUUUAGGGGGCCUGAGAGGGUGAACCCCCACACUGGUACUGAGACACGGACCAGACUCCUACGGGAGGCAGCAGUGAGGAAUAGUGGACAAUGGGUGGAAGCCUGAUCCAGCCAUCCCGCGUGUAGGAUGACGGCCUUAUGGGUGGUAAACUACUUUUAUCUGGGGAUAAACCUACUUACGGGUAAGUAGCUGAAGGUACCAGAAGAAUAAGCACCGGCUAACUCCGUG
rnacentral:rRNA from 1 species